AUCCAGCUGACGAGUCCCAAAUUGAAUGAAACGUACAUGCUGGAU
rnacentral:hammerhead_ribozyme from 1 species